rnacentral:rRNA from 1 species
UACAGAGGGGGCAAGCGUUAUUCGGAAUUAUUGGGCGUAAAGGGCGCGUAGGCGGCCUGACAAGUGGAAGGUGAAAUCCCUCGGCUUAACCGAGGAACUGCCCUCCAAACUGUUUGGCUUGAGACCGGGAGAGGUGAGUGGAAUUCCCAGUGUAGCGGUGAAAUGCGUAGAUAUUCGGAAGAACACCAGUGGCGAAGGCGGCUCACUGGACUGGUAUUGACGCUGAGGCGCGAAAGCGUGGGGAGCAAACAGGG